UGGUGGAGUGAUUUGUCUGCUUAAUUGCGAUAACGAACGAGACCUCGGCCCUUAAAUAGCCGGUCCGCAUUUGCGGCCGCUGGCUUCUUAGGGGACUAUCGGCUCAAGCCGAUGGAAGUGCGCGGCAAUAACA
rnacentral:rRNA from 1 species